rnacentral:lncRNA from 1 species
GUGAAGGCCUGUUGACUUCAGCAGUGAAGUUUCAUCAUCUCAGUUUUCUGAUUCCUACAUCACAGCUUUCUGUCACCAGGAAAAGGAGAACAAGAAGUCAAGUAUUCUUGAACUCAUUGUUUCAUUAGUGACUUCAGAGAUAGUGGCUUCCCUGUUAGGUGAAGAGGCACUCUCAGGGGAAAGAAAAUACAGUGGUCUAGUCCAAUGCUGCUGUAGCCUGAUAACUGGACUUCAAGUUUUCAUUCAGGAUGCUCUAAUGACAAAAACUAAUGUCAAGCCACAUCUCAACAAGGGACUGUUUGGAGAGUCUUACUGAAGGAUCAUAAGCCACAGAAGCCAGAAGAGCGAAGGUGCAGAUUAUUAGUUGAUGUGAUGGGCAAUGCUUGAUUCAAUGGUAUGUUACUAAUAAUGACUACGUUUCAUCCAAAAAAACCCCCAGGAAAUUCUCAUAGUCUGUGAAAUAAAAUGAACGUACUGACUCAUAACUCUUAGGUUCAAGGGUGCUGAGGACUCCCUUUCUCUCUCCCUCCUUCUCUCUCUCCCUCUCUCACUUUCAUUCUCUUGCUUUUACUCUCAUUCUUGCUCUUGUGUUUUUCCUCUAUCUUUACCUUAUUUCUACUUAAGCCUCUUUUUCCCUUACUGUGUGGAGGAUUUCUUUACUCUGGAGGUAAUGUGAUCUUUGGAAAAAGGAUGUCUAUAAUUUUCAGAUAUGUGGCCCAGUAGGAAAAUUGUUUUUCAGCCGGUUCCAUAUUUUAAAAAUCCAGAGAAGAAAUAUGACUGCCUUAACCGCCUGUUGGUCUAAACGCUACUGUCAGAAGAUGAUUGCAUGUGAAUAAUUUGCUCAGAAUGUCAGCAAAUUUGGUAGAGAAGUAUAGUUAUUAUGUCUAUUGAAUCAUAUGGUUGAGUGUGGAUAAGCAGAUCUCCAAAAGAAGUGAAGAUACUGUACAGUGCAGACCAAAAAGUAAUACAAUACAAAUAUCAUAAAGCUGCAGCCACCCAGUACAUCCAUAUAAACUCAUUCUCAUAAUGUGAUCUAGAAAAAUGCAAAAAUUCCAUGCAACUAUCCACUGACAACCAAAGUUCUAAGUCCCAUGUCCUUCUUUUAUGCAACUAAAAUCCCAAGACAUUUGGAUGUUAGUAAAUAUUCUCCCUCCACACACUGCUGUUUUUAUUUUGAAUUGACGAUUUAUAAUUGUAUAAGUUUAUACAACAAAAAGUAACGGUAUUAUUUAUUAACGCAAUGUAACAUAAUUAAAUCAAGAUAGUUAACAUAUCUAUUACCUCAAAUAUGUAACAUUUUUGGUGGUGAGAAUAUUUGAAAUUUACUAUCUUAACAAUUUUAAAAUGUACAAUCCUCUAUUAUUUUGUUUUGUUUUUUGUUUGUUUGUUUUUGUUUUCAGAUGGAGUCUUGCUGUGCUGCCCAGGUUGGAGUGCAGUGGCACGAUCUUGGCUCACUGCAACUCCUCCGCCUCCCAGGUUAAAAUGAUUCUCCUGCCUCAGCCUCCCAAGUAGCUGGGACUACAGGCAUGCACCACUACGCCUGGCUAAUUUUUGUAUUUUUAGUAGAGACAGGGUUUUACCAUAUUGGUCAGGCACAUCUCGAGCUCCUGACCUCGGGCAAUCCACCCACAUCGGCCUCCCAAAGUGCUGGGAUUACAGGCUUGAGCCAUGACACCCAGCCCUCUUUUAUUAAUUAUAUUCACUGUGCUGUGCAAAAGACCUAAAAUAAUAUUCCUCCUCUCUGAGAUUUUGUACCGUUUUGCCAUCAUCUUCCCAUUUCCCCUGCCCUCAGGCUCUGUAAUCACCAUUCUACUCUCUGCUUCUAUGAGUUUGAUUAUUUCAGAUUUCACAUAUAAGUAAGACCAUGUGGUAUUUGUCUUUCUGUGCCUGGCUUAUUUCACUUAGAAUAAUGCUCUCCAAUUUCAUUAAUGCUGUUGCAAAUGACAUUUUUUUAUUUGAAGCUAAAUAGUAUUCUAUUGUGUGUAUGUGUGUGUGUGUGUGUGUGUAUGUGUUUGUGUGUGUGUGUGUGUGUGUGUGUGUGUGUGUAUGGAUACACAUACACCACAUUUUCUUUAUCUAUUCAUCUGUUGAUGGCAUCUAGGUUGAUUCUAUGAUGGCCAUUGUGAACAAUGCUGCAAUAAAUAUGGGAGCACAGACAUCUCUUCUACAAAUUAAUUUCAUAACUUUUGGAUAACUACCCAGAAGUGGGACUGCUAAAUCAUAUGGUAAUUCUAUAUUUUUUUUCAGAAACCUACACACAAUUUUUCAUAUGGCUGCACUAAUUCACAUUGCCACCAAAAGCAUACAAGGGUUCCCUUUCUCCUUAUUGUUGUUGGCACUUGUUAUCUUUAGUCUUUAUGAUAAUAGUCAUUCUUACAGCUAUGAGAUAUCUCAUUGUGAUUUUAAUUUUAAUUUCCCUAAUGAUUGUCAAUAUCAAGCUUUUUUUCACAUUUCCUUUGGCCAUUUGUAUGUCAUCUUUUAAGAAAUAUCUAUUCAGGUUAUUUGCCCAUUUUUAAUAGUUUUUUUUUAAAUUUUCUUGCCUUUGAGUUGUUUGAGCUCCUAAUCUAUUGUUAAUAUUAAUCCCUUAUUCGAUGUAUUGUUGCAAAUACUUUCUCCCAGUGUGUGAGUUGUCUCCGCACACUGCACUGUUAAUUGUUUUUAUGCAGAAACGCUUUGUUCGAUGUAAAACCAUGUAUCUAAUUUUGAUUUUAUUGCCUGCACUUUGGAGUCAAAUUCAAAAAAUCAUUGACGAAACCAAUGUCCUGUAGUUUUACUCCUGUAUUUUCUUCUAGUAGUUUUACAGAUUUAGUAUUAAGUCUUUAAUCCAUUUUUGAGUUGAUUUUACAUAUGGUAUGCAAUAAGGGUCCAAUUGUAUUCUUCUGCAUGUGGAUAUACAGGUUUUCCAACACCAUUUAUUAAGUGACUAUUCUUUUUCCGUUAGGUAUUCUUGGCACCUUUUUUGAAAAUCAAUUGACCAUACAUGUGUGGAUUUAUUUCUAGGUUCUAUAUUAUUUUCCUUUGGUUGAUUUUUUUUUUUAAAUCUGUACCAUGCUGUUCUAAUUACUGCAUGAUUUGUGAGUAGAUUCAGUUAGCAUUCCUCAACUAAGAAUAAACAGUAUGGCAGCCAGGCAGGGUGGCUCACGCCUGUAAUCCCAGCACUUUGGGAGGCGGAGGGGGGCGGAUCACGAGGUCAGGAGAUCAAGACCAUCCUGGCUAACACGGUGAAACCCCGUCUCUACUAAAAAUACAAAAAAUUAGCCGGGCGUGGUGGCGGGAGCCUGUAGUCCCAGCUACUCAGGAGGCUGAGGCAGGAGAAUGGCGUGAACCCGGGAGGCGGAGCUUGCAGUGAGCCGAGACUGAGCCACUGCACUCCAGCCUGGGUGACAGAGCGAGACUCCGUCUCAAAAAAAAAUAAAUAAAUAAAUAAACAGUAUGGCUACAUGACAAAUUUGCAACUCCAGCACACUGAAUGUAGAGUGAAAAUGAAAAAUUGUUUAAGAAAAGGAAACAAGAGGCAAUACACCCUAAGUGAAGAACAGCAACAAGAAAAAGCAGACCGUUUUAUCGGAUAGGUCAUAGUGAAUGACAGUAGGUCAUUUACUUUCUUCAUAAUCAAAUGUAAUCUUUCAUCAGACUGUUUUUCUUUCAUUUCUUAAUUUCAUUAAACAUUAUUUUUGAAUUGAAAGAUAAAAUUGUGUGUUUAUUGUGUACAACAUGAUGUUUUCAAGUAUCUAUACAUUACGGAAUGGCUAAACCUAGUGAAUUCACACAUAAAUUAGCUCACACAGUUUUUUUGUGGGAACAACUUAAAAUUGUAUUAUUUUCAAGAAUACAAUAUAUUGUUAUAAGUAUAGUCACUAUGUUUUACAACUGAUCUCUUGAACCGAAGAGAUUAACGCUUCCAUGUUUAUUACUACAUUUUUCCCAAUAGCCAAGAUAUGGAAUGAAUCUAAGUGUCCAUCAGUGAAUGAAUGGAUAAAGAAAAUGUGAUGUGUAUGUACAAUGGAGUACUUACUAUUCAGCCUUAAAAAAAUAAGGCAAUUCUGUUGUGACAACAUGGAUGAAACUGUAGGACAUUAUGUUAGGUGAAAUAAGUCAGGCACAUAAAGAUAAAUACUGCAUGACCUCACCUGUAUAUGGAAUCUAAAAAAAUAAAAAGUUGAUCAUAUAGAACUACCGAGUGGAAUGGUGAUUACUAGGGGAUAGGGGAGUUAGGUGGUGGAGUGGGAAUUGUUGUCCCUCAUUUCUGGACAACUGAGAGAUCCUCUGUGUUCUUCAUAGUUCCUAUCCAUCUCUAAAAGGGAAGUCCUUUUUUAGUGUUUGUGGAGAACUAGGUAAGUUAUUGGUGUAAAAAGUAAUCAUAAGACUAGACUACCAGACUUGGGAUUUUCUUACAUAAUACCCCACCCCCCGCCCAUAAAACACAAUAAACCUCAGUUUGAUUUGAUUUCUAGGUUCUAUCUUUGAUAGUAGAAAAUGCCAGAAAUUUUUUCAAGGCCUUUGAAUAUGAAGAUUAUUCCUGCUAUUUUUGUAUCUCUGCCUUUCUUGUAGCACCCAGUUUCACAGAUUCUCUCUUGUAAGCUGUUUCAUUUAAAUGUAAGUCAAUAAUUUGGUGGGCAGAAUUUGUAUUUCUUGUGUGAAAGCUCUGUAUUUAUAGUUGGCAUUUUAUAGUAGAAGAAAGUACUGCAUGUCUUGGGUUGGGGUAUAUGGAAAGAAACCAUAGGGAGGAACUUGGUGUCUCAGACAUUGUCUAUUUUUUUGGUUCCUUCAAAGUCUCAUUUUUAUCUUCAUUUGUUAGUUCUAUUUCUGUACCUAAUACUUUUAGUCUCCAUAGAACAGAAUACUCCAAAACAAGCCUUCAAAAUGAAAUAAAGCCCUUGACUGUGGUUGCUGAAUGGGUUUGGAUCACUUGUCUCAAGCACAGAGUAUCUCACUCCACCAACUCAAACUGAGUCUUACCUUUUCUGUAAGAGAAUGCUGAGGAUUGUAAGGUUGCCUAAAUACUCCAUAUUUUAUCAAAUUUCAACAUGGGUUUUAAAUUGCUAGCUGGGUGGACACAUUGGCUAAGUCCAGAGACAGGGUAGGUAAUUACUUAAUUAGAGGCUUCUCUUUUACAUACAAAAAUCAGCUUCUUAGCCAGAAAUAUGAGAUUCUCUCUGCUCUCUUUCCUCAGAUGCCAGAACCAUAUUUCUAUUCUUUCACUUGAAACAAAACUUGUAAAUGUACCACUUUUCUGUUAGUCAUUAUUCCUGGAGUAGCAAGUGAAAAGAAAGGGAAUUCAAGCUACCUUAUGCCAGAAAUAGGAUAUACUGUCCCCUAAAUUGUAAGAAGUCCAUGACUGGUUUUAGGCAUGACAAGGUUCAAGGAUUCAAGAUAUGGCACCUGGGUUUGUAACUUUUUCUCUCUCAGCCUCCUUGCUUAGUUCUUUCUAAGUUUCUACUUCUCCUCCUGCACACAGUUUCACUCCAUGUAUUAAGGAAGCUGGCCUUUGCUAGUCCUUAACUGGGUAGAGGAGUCCCCAAAAUAAUGAGAUUGUUGGACAUUCCAAAAUAUAUAUUGACUAUAAGUACUUAAUGGAAUGAACUGAAAGACCACAAUAAAAUUUUCAUAAUACAAAUUCUCAUAUUGCACAAUGAGUUUCUUCUGUACA